UACGUAGGGUGCAAGCGUUGUCCGGAAUUAUUGGGCGUAAAGGGCUCGUAGGCGGUUUGUCGCGUCGGGAGUGAAAACUCAGGGCUUAACCCUGAGCCUGCUUCCGAUACGGGCAGACUAGAGGUAUGCAGGGGAGAAUGGAAUUCCUGGUGUAGCGGUGAAAUGCGCAGAUAUCAGGAGGAACACCCGUGGCGAAGGCGGCUCUCUGGGACGGUACUGACGCUGAGACGCGAAUGCGUGGGGAGCGAACAGG
rnacentral:rRNA from 1 species